AAAAAAAAAAAAAAAAAAACAUAUUUUUGAGCUGGACUGAAAUAGGGCGUAAUUGGGUCUGUUACCUUGAAAAAGAUAAUGAUAUUAUGCCAUUCAUGUAAAUUGAAUGAUAUUAAAUAUCUAAGUCAAAAUAAAUCGGAUAUUCUUGUUUUUUUUUUUUUGUUUUUUUUUUUAAUUUUUAAUACCUAAUUAUAUUUGUAAUAUUAUUAUGCGAAUCUUCGUAAUUAAUAUCGUAUUCGUUAUAUUAUCGAUUAUUAAGUUACAUCGAAGAAUAAAGGGAAGAGGGUUCAUUGAUUGGAUUAUCUCUCCCCCUCUCUUGCUCUUGAAUAUAGUUACAUGGGCGUGGACCGUUUGGCCGAAUUAACUCAAAAUGUGGUCGUUUUGGGCGAAUAGUUGCACAUCGUUUGGACGAGUGUUUAUUCCACUAAAAAUAUAG